rnacentral:miRNA from 1 species
ACUGAAAUUGUAGACUCGGACA